rfam:Vibrio sp. JCM 19231 DNA, contig00001.
UUCGGGAAUGGCCAAACCUGUCGUGAGAUAGGGACGGAAAGCUGCGGGUCUCUGGCAAGGAGCUAGAGAUAGCCGGGUUGCAAAU